rnacentral:rRNA from 1 species
UACAGAGGUCUCAAGCGUUGUUCGGAUUCAUUGGGCGUAAAGGGUGCGUAGGCGGCGCGGUAAGUCGGGUGUGAAAUCUCGGAGCUUAACUCCGAAACUGCAUUCGAUACUGCCGUGCUUGAGGACUGGAGAGGAGACUGGAAUUUACGGUGUAGCGGUGAAAUGCGUAGAUAUCUGGAGGAAUACCGGUGGCGAAGGCGGCAUCCUGGACCGGCAUUGACGCUGAACAGCGAAAGCUAGGGGAGCAAACCAGG